CACACAUAGCCUGGGCUCGUCCCCUCCUGCCCUGCUCCCGCGCUGUUCGUACCCUCAAGGUCCCUGUGUGUGUUUGCUGCAAGCGGCAUUUGGGUAGGUUCUUUGCAUCUGUUUUCUCUACUCCUUGCAACAGCCUUGUCCCCAUUUUACAGAUGAUAAAUUGAGCCACGCAGAGGAGAGGUAACUCCCUCCUGUCCUCAGAGUGUCCCGAAGACCCUCCUUUGCCUGGUGAGUGACAUACUAGAGCCCGCACGGUGACAGCUCAGGUAUGUGGCACCCCUCGGACCCACCCCUCCCUGGGUGGAGUGGCCCAGCUGUGGUGGGCACUUCCUCACCCAGCCGUGGGCACAGGCCAGACCCUGAGCCCAGCGGCCCUGUAAUUUCAGAUGUAGCUGGGCAUGUGUGUGUUAUUGGGUGAUACUUAAAUCCUAACCUUUUCAAAAGCAAACCCAAGUAAGCACAUAUUGGAGAACCAUAAUUCCAAGCUUGGAGGCCUCCCUCAAGGCGAUGGGGAGUGUGGCAUCGUGACCGCUAACCCGGUCCCUCCGCGGCCUUGGGUUUAAAAGCGUCUGUGUCCAGCCGGGAGGUGAACUCCUGACAGCAACGCCCGUCCAGCCCACACCUCUGCCUGGCAGUGUGCAGCAGGACCCCUGAAGCCCAAGUCGAGAGCAGCGCCUGGUCUCCACCCGAGACUGGGUGGCGGAGAAGCGCUGCCUCUGACCUCAGUGAGCAUGGAGAGGCGGUGACAGGUUUGGACAGUAGAGAUUUCAGCAAUUUCUGGAAGGGCUUCAUUUGAGGCUGGGUCCGAGCACCGCCCCGCAGCCUUCCUGGCCCCAGCCCUUCACAGGAGCCUGCUCGGGGAGCCUCGUGGGCGUCAAUGGAGCUGGACGGGGGGCUUCCUCUGCACCCCCAGUGCAGAGUCUGAACAGGACCUGCCUCGGAAGCAGAAUCGGAUUCCGCUGACUGGGACAACGUCACGUGACAGCGAGUCCAGCGCCCGGGGCCUGGGAGAACAAAGGCGGCUGACCCGUCACAGGAGCUGCACGGCAAUGCAUCUGAGACCAUGCGGUGUCACCUUCACAGAAGUGCUCUGGCACAGAGACUCCAGCCUUGCCGGCCUCUCGCCUCCCAAGCACAGAAGCCUCCAGAACGCUGCUUCAAGGACAAGCCCAGGAGACCUGCCAUGCUCAUGCGUGUCUUUGGAAACAGGUUCUCUAAAUUUUGCUUGUGGUUUGUUAAAAAAAAAAAAAAAAUCAGAAGUGUAAUCAAAGACUUCAACAAACGAAGCACCAAAACACUUCAGCUUUGAAAUGUAGAAUUGCAAUGACUGGAAACACGGCUCGCAAAGCAAAAGACAUUAAAAUUCAGUCAUCCCUACAGAAGCCGGACAGGAAUUGAUCACAUCCACUAGUGAAGGCUCAGAAAGUGACAAGAUUUCAUUUGGAAAUCGUACCUGUGUCCUUGGGAACAUCCUGAACCUUGGGAAGCAUCAGCUCAUGGAGUUCCUAUUAACUGGAUAAAUUUAUAUUCUAGAUUGAAAUGGAAUGGAAUUAAGUAGGCCCACGGUUUUGCAGCACGUACAUUUGAAGAAUCAUUAAAAAUCAUCAUAGAAACAAUUUAUUUGACGAGAUUUGUCUUGUACAAAUAUUUGUUAAAUAUUUGUACUCCGAACGGAGGCCAAAAGACAGCACCUGUGGGAAAC
rnacentral:lncRNA from 1 species